rnacentral:misc_RNA from 1 species
AAAUUAAGUAUCAACAGACCUAACAGGGAAAGAAUGUUAAAAUAUUGAUAUCAAUCUCAUCAACAUAAAUCACAAAACAUUCUUACUGUGCAAUUCAUGCAGAAACUGUCAAUUACUUGCAAUUUUCCUAUAUACUGUAAUUACAAAAGAAGUUUUGAGCUACUAUACUACGACGAUGAGUAUGACAAAACAAUCAUAAUUUUCAUAUGAUAACACAUAAUUUGCUCCCUUUUUUGAGGAUAAUGAAGAUAGUAACUUAAGAAAAGCAAGAUAAAAUAUAAGAUAAUAAACUCCAGAUAAGAUUGACAGACUGCCCUUGACUAAAGACAAGAGUUCCAGUUAGUUUUAUCUUACACCUUUUCAGUUUCACUAUGAAGUUGCAAAACUAAUAAGAUAUAUCAUUCACAGAUAUUUCAAAGCAAAAGUACAAGCAUGGCCAAUAUGGAUGUGGUCCUAUGUGGCUAUGUCCCACACCCAACACCAACACUUAGAUAUCAGAAAUGCUGCUCUAAUCUCAUUCUUUAUGUAAGAUAACCACAGUUGCACUAGUAUAUUGAUUGUAAACAGAAGAGUAAUAACAUAAUGAUUUACAUUCAUCAAUUCAAAACAUAUUUAUCCCCCUAAAAUACUUCCGUUCCACUCUAGCUUCAAGCUUCUAAGAUACAGUUUCAAACAAAAAAAGUAAUAAAUUAAAAAAAAAGGUCUAAGAGAAGUUUUUUAGCAAUUUUAGUUGUUG